rnacentral:rRNA from 1 species
CCUACGGGGGGCAGCAGUGGGGAAUAUUGCACAAUGGGGGAAACCCUGAUGCAGCGACGCCGCGUGAAGGAAGAAGUAUUUCGGUAUGUAAACUUCUAUCAGCAGGGAAGAAACUGACGGUACCUGACUAAGAAGCACCGGCUAAAUACGUGCCAGCAGCCGCGGUAAUACGUAUGGUGCAAGCGUUAUCCGGAUUUACUGGGUGUAAAGGGAGCGUAGACGGAGAGGCAAGUCUGAAGUGAAAGCCCGGGGCUCAACCCCGGGACUGCUUUGGAAACUGCAGUUCUAGAGUGCCGGAGAGGUAAGCGGAAUUCCUAGUGUAGCGGUGAAAUGCGUAGAUAUUAGGAGGAACACCAGUGGCGAAGGCGGCUUACUGGACGGUGACUGACGUUGAGGCUCGAAAGCGUGGGGAGCAAACAGGAUUAGAUACCCCUGUAGUC